CUUCCUCCUUGUUGCGGCAUGAAGCUUGUGGACAGAUUUUUGGGUGGAUUUAUGGUGUAGAAUGGAUGGGGAAUGAUAUGGAGGGGUUUAGGGUGAGUGUGGAAGAGUGUUUGAUGGUUGGAAGGUGGUGGAGAACUAGGCAAAGAGGGUGGAAGAAGGUGGAGUGGCUGUUAUGUUUUCUAGGCACUAGAAUGGUGUUUUUGGGGUGUUUUGCUUCCUAGGGUGUGUAUGGACGAAUUUCUGUUAUAAAAUGAUGAAUAUGGGGGAUUGUUCUUUGGCCAAGGGGUGUAAACAUGUAUUUAUAGGCCCCAAAAACCUUAGAAAAUCAGGUUAGGUUAAGGAUGAAAUGCAUGGUAAUUUGUGUGUGUGGUGUGCAAUGGUCCAAGGGUGAAAAUGAAGUGAUGAUGCAAAGUGUGAAGGGUAAAAUGGAGUGGUCUUGAAGCUAGGGAGCAUGAAUGAUUGUGUACAUUGCAUAGAGAUGGAAAGGGAGGUGAAAAUGUGUCAAUAAAUGGGUCAAAGGUGCAGCAACAUGUGGUACACAAGGCAUGGGAUUCCAAAUGUGAAUGAUGGAGCAUCAAUUGGUGCAUGUAAUGGAUGUAAAUGUUGUCUAAAAUCUAAUGAGUGAAGGGAACAAGAGGUAUCAAGCAAUUGAGUGUAAUAAUUAAAUGAAUUGAAGCAUGAAAUUAGAAAUUAUGUAGGGGACAAGAGUGAUCAAGCAUGGCAUGGAAUCCAAAGGGAAUUCUAUGUGGUUUGCAUGGCAAGGAAUGCAAGUUGGGGUGACAGAUUUUUUUGGGCUAUUUUCUUCAUCUUUUGGACCAUAAUUCUUCAUAUUCUUGGCCUCUUUAGUUCUCAAAUUCGUCCAUCCACUUGGCCCAUGCAUUUGCUAUCCAUUCCAAGCCCGAAACAUGCUCCAAAGGCCUCCAAAAUGCAUAUUCUUGCAUACUUUGUACUUAGAGUCUGAAAACACACGAAAAUGACUUUUAAACAUUAAAAUAACUAAGGAAACACGACAUAAAUGCACAAGAACAAGCCAACUAAGUCGCAUAAAUAUGCUCCUAUCAAAUUCCCCCACACUUAGCUUUUGCUAGUCCUCGAGCAAAACAAAGAGAUAAAACGAAACAAAACAAAUAAAACACAACCUAAACCUUCCAACAUUUGCCUCAGGGAUUUCCAAUGCACAUGACAUGUUAAAAAUCAUUAUCCCCACAGAUUUGAGUCAUCUUUACACUUAAGCACAUACUUAAUCAUAGUCACCACUUACUAGUUCACAAUUAAUCAAUUAAAACAAUGUUUUUGAUGUAGUAACAUGCCUUAGAGAAAUCACUCAAUUCCUUACAAGACAUGCACUCAAUUUUCACUCAGAUUUUCUAACUACACACCCUAUACUAGUUAUAUGUGAGAAGAUUGAUGUAGAUAUGAAAACGAACGCUCACAUAUAUGUAUCACAAAGAAAGCAAUUUCUGGAGUUAAUAAGCAUGUUUAGAUAUGAUCUCAUGAAUGGAAUGCUACUACUUAGAUGCGAGAACCAGUGACACCAUAUGCUCAUACCAAAUUCAAACUCCACAUAUUGAAACGCAUGACACUCAAGAUGAAGUUAAGGGUUGUAACGGGGCUUGGGGUGAUGGCUAACAAAUGAAGGAUAAGGAUAACAAUCGUUCUUAAAGCAAUAGCAAGUAAAGUAAUGAAAUUGAAACUUAGAAUUCACUUAGAUUGCAGAAAUCAGCUUUUAGACACGAAGGGAAAAUUCAAGCAAUAAUUAGGGCCGAAUUCUAUGUUUUGGACCCUUUCUUCAACAAGCAGCACUUUAAAACUUUUUUUUUUUUUUUUUUUUUUUUUUUUCAACUCUUCUUUUCUUUUCAACAAGCAUAAUAACUCACACUUCCCCCACACUUGUUUUCUGCCAUACAUUAAUCAAAAGAAAUUCAAUUUGAAUCAUGUUUUACUAUGCUUCAAGAACAAGGGUAUGGAUGGUCCUAAACUAGGCUAGGUAAGGAUAAUGUGGUUUAACAAAGAAUGUAGGCUAUCAAGGCUCCAUGGGGUUAACUUAAACAUAUAACGAUAUGGGAUACAUGGCAGUUUGGCUUUGGUGGUGGUAACUACACAACUUCAUCUUGAAUAUGUUUUAUGCAAAUCAAUAGCAUGCUUUGAAUGAAAUAGGCAUGAGUUCUAGCAUUUGGAACUAAAUGAUGAAACGCCUUCUAAGUAAUAGCCAAGCAAAGAAUAAUGAGAUCAUGCAACGACUUUAGAAAACAAGAAUGCACGGAUUUUAACUCUCCAAAUAAACGUUUAAGCUCAAGUCUCACAAGGUUGUAGCGUUAGUUUGAGUUCUUUCCUUCAAGCAUGUUACAAAAACUAAUUUUUUUUCUUUUAUGAUUACAUGUGAUUUCAUAAGUUAUAACCACAACCACGCAUAAAUAAAGAGUAAAUCAAACUUUCAUCCAUGUUUAUAACUCUCUUUAACAGUCAUGCAAUUACAAACCGAAUCCUCAUCAUUGUGUUGGAAGGUACCCUAAGACACAAAUAAGCGCACAAAAACAACUCUUUUUUUGGAUUUUCAAAAACAAUUUUUCAAAUUUUUAUGAAUUUUUGGAUUUUUAUGUCAAAACACACUGAAACACUCCAAAACAGCUUAAAAAAAUACUUAAAACAACAAAGAACAACACUAGAAGUAAUGGGUGAGAAAUUUCUACGAAUUUCAUGCAAAACAAUGGUUACCCCCCCACACUUAAAUCAAACAUUGUCCUCAAUGUUUCAAGCAUAUACUCACACCAAAAACAAGCAAAUAAUAAACGACAAAUAAACAUGACAAAUAUGGCAAAGUAAAAACCAGACAGAGUAGAGUUUAAGAACGCAAAUCUGGUUUUGGAGAUAGUUGAUCUUGUUGACUUUCCACAGCUUUGAUCUUGAACUGGAUUGGAAUUGUACGACGAAGCUUUUCUCUUUGGCGAUGUUGCAAUUCCUUAUUUGUUCUCCAAGCAGAUGUGGCAGCUUCUCUAGUUCUUCAGCUCGGACUCCUUGUGCUGGGUUGAUUGUACGAGCUGCAUUCUUCUCUGCUUGUUUCUUCUGUACGUUGUCUCCACAUGCUGCUGGUAUCAUUUUCGCUUGCCUUAUCUGUUCUUCAGGUAGAUGUGGCAGCUUCUUUGGAAGUACAUCAGCAGUGGAAGACGAGUACUCGAGAGCAAUUUCUCCAUGUCCUGCAGGUUAGAACAAAGACAAGGAAAAGGACAUGGAGAAUGCAUGAUAUGAGAUACUCUUGCUUUCAACCUUUAUGAUAUGAAAUACUUUUGCUCUGGAUGGGUUGUUUGCAGGGGUAUCCCAGGGAAUGAGGAAUACAAUGUGACUCGAGAGGGUUCUUUGGGAAUGCAUUCUCGGAGAUGAAGAAGUGCUGAGAGGGUGUGCCUUUGCUGUGGAAGGCGAAGGUAAAUACUUAUAGGACUUUUCUUCACAACCGGAACUAUUCCCUCACUCAUUGUCGGCAGCCGGUGGAUGAAUGAAUAGCACAAAUUACGCGCUUUCUGACAAAGCUGCCCGUAAUUUCCGCAAAGCUGAUUCCUCAUUGAUAUCUGGAAUCGGCGCUUCGAGCUCUGAGCAUCGUCGAUUGUAGAGGUAGCAUGUGACACGUGCGGAUAAAUCUGGAAAAGAAGAUUUGCCCGUGGGUUGAAGCCCAGCUUUUGAGAAAGCUAGCGUGUCUUUGACUGUUGAAUUUCCCUCUUCGAUUUCUGAAUUGGUGCUUCGACAAACUGCCCGAGAAUUUCGCAAAGCAAUUUGCGUGUGACAAGUGACGACACGUCUGGACAAAUUGAUCUUUUGAAAUCCGGGGUUCGGCUUGUGGUUUCUGAGCAAGCCCAGCCUUUAAGAAAUGAAAUGCCUCUUUUGAGAAAAGAAUCCGGCUUUUGAGAAAGGAAACUCCUCUUUUGAGAAAAGAAUCAGGCGUUUGAGAACGGAGCCCCGACUCUUCGAUUUGCGAGAGGACGCCUCUUUAAUUUCUGAGGAGCGCCUCUUUGAUUUCUUCUUUUUAUAGAGGCGCUAAUUUUGUUCCACAACACACUUGAGCUCCCUCCUGUAAACACUCCCUUCUUGCACUUGUUUAAUCUUGAUCAGUCCUCCUCUCUUCUUUCUUCACCACCUUCAGAAAAUGUCUGGCCCUUCCGAUCGUCGUUUUGACUUGAACAUUGGUGAAGAGGCAGCUCCGCCUUCACCAGACAACAUAUGGCGCCCAUCAUUCAUAUCCCCUACUGGUCCUCUCACCGUUGGGGAUUCGGUGAUGAAAAAUGACAUGACCGCUGCAGUGGUGGCCCGGAACCUUGUCACCCCCAGAGAUAACAGACUGCUCGCUAGACGAUCUGAUGAAUUGGCGGUUAAGGAGUCUCUGGCUCUUAGCGUGCAGUGUGCCGGUUCCGUGUCCAACAUGGCCCAACGCCUAUUUGCCCGAACCCGUCACGUUGAAUCGUUGGUGGCUGAAAUACAGAGUCUCAAAGAGGAGAUUAAAGGACUCAAGCAUGAAAAUAAACAAUUGCAUAAGCUUGCACACAGUUAUGCCACAAACAUGAAGAGGAAAAUUGACCAGCUGCAGGAAAAUGAUGGUCAGAUUUUACUUGAUCACCGAAGGUUUGUGGGUUUGUUCCAACCGCAUCUGCCUUCGUCUUCUGGGGCGACACCGCGUAGUGAAGCUCCAACUGAUCAACCUCCGAUACCUCCUCCUUCCGUGGCCCCACCGACUGCUGAGACUCCGCCGACUACUGCAACUCCGCCGACUCCUCCCAAUCAGCCUUUGUGAAGGCUCCCUCUUGUAAUUUCUUGCUUAAUGUUCCCUUUUUUUUUUUUUUCAUGAAAAAGAAUGUAAGAAUAUCUUGCAUAUCUAUCAAUGUUUCAAAAAUAAACCCACACCCAAAAAUAAUUAAAUAAACAAAAAUAAAAAAAAUGACAAUCAUGGCAAAAUAAAAAUGCAGAAAAGUGAAGGUUUUUAGAAACGCAAAAACUGAUUGUAGAGCGAUUCAUAGAUCUUCCUUUUUUUGAAUACAUGGGUUGCCUCCCAAGAAGCGCUUUCUUUAAUGUCUUGCAGCCGGACGAUACUUCCUUCUAAACUUGGAUAGGGCCCAUAGCAUGGAAUUGAUCCUUGAAUGGACGGUGAUACUUGACGUGAUCCGACAAUGGUUUAAAUUCUAGUGUAGGUGCCUGAAUCAUCAAAAUCAACAAGUUAGUAUAUACUAAAAUCGAAAUUGGAGAAGAUGGCUUACUUGCUUUGUCCGACAAGAAACUCAAUGACAAACACCACAUUUUUUGAAAGUUUCAGGGAUAUUGGACUUGGCCAGAUUGAAUGUGAUGGUUGGGACUUGUCCCAUGUCAUAAAAUUCAACUUCUUUAGGAAUGGUUGUCUCAAGCACAUCCUCUUUGAUGCAUUCUAGACAUUCCCCAUCCACUUCUUUUUCUUGAUUCUUUGGAAAGGUUUCAAAGAUGCCUUUCUCACCCUCUUCUUCCUUGGAUUGCAUGAUCCUGCAAGGAAUAAAGACAUUUAGUGGAACGGGGUCAGGACGAAUUGAAUUUGGGCUUACCUUGGUUGUAGUGGACUGCAUAGAGGGCAUAUGGGGAUGCGGCAAGGGUGUUGGGGCUAGGGUAGGCUGCAGCAAUGGUGGUUCUUCCUUUGCCGUGGCCUUGUUAUCCUCCUCUUCUUCGAGCAGUAACUGUUCAUCCAUGUUUUGGCUUGGUUUGGACAUCUUGGGUUCAUCUCCAACCUCUAUGCCACUUUCCAAGUUGAUAGCUUCAAUAAUUUCAACAGUUGAGUCAGUUACUUCACUUUGUUCUUGCAUUUGCCCCAUGAAUUCCGCGAUCUCUCCCAUUUGAUUCUUCAAUUCGCUCAUCACUUGGGCUUGAUUUUGUGAUUCCUGCGUCAAAGAAGUUAGUACAUCAAGAAUUUGAGCACAAUCUAUUGACGAACCUGAAUUUGAUUGGAAUUGUUGCGGGGCAGGUUGUGGUGGCUGCAUAGGCGUUGUAUAGAACUCCUCAUAUGGCUGCCAAUAUUCUCCUUGUUGAGCCUCCUUGGCUUGAUUUUGUGAGCCCUGCGCCAAAGAAUUUAAUUCAUUAAGAAUUUGUUCAUAAUUUAUUGACGAACCUGAGUUUGGUUGGGUAUAUUGUGUAUGAGGUUGUGGUGGCUGAGCAGGGCUUGAAUAGAACUCAUUAUAUGGCUGCCAAUAUCCUUCGUGUUGAACUGGUUGAGGUUCCCACCACAUAGUGUUUGAAUGAUCCCUCCAAUCUGAAUUAUACGUGUUGGAAAACAAGUUGUUCAUUGAUUGAUUAUGAUCAUGAUAACUCUCCCAACUCCUUUGUGGAUGUUGAUCUGCUUGAUAUCCUUGCGUAUAGGACACAUCGAAUGUAGGGGUGCUUUGUAUUGUGGUCAUUUCGAUGUACUGUGACAAUUGAGAAGUAAGAAUUGCCAUUUGAGCUUGAAGAUUAGCAAUUGCCAUGUCUUACUUCUUUUAGUACCUGAUAUCAAAGAAAUAAAACUAAAUCAAAUAUCAUAAGUAAACAAAACAGGGUAAUUAUAAAAAAAAAAAUAAAUAAAAUAAAAAAUAAAAUAAAAUAAAAAAAUAAAAAUAAAUAAAAAUAAAAUAAAAUAAAAAAAAUAAAAAAAACUAAACAAUUUAAACAAGACUCAAGACAAGGGAUUAGCAACUUUGCUAAUCCCCGGCAACGGCGCCAAAAUUUGAUGCGUAAAAUAAGUUAACACACAAAAUUAAACCCUCUUUUUAUCAAAUGUAGUAAAGUAUGUAAGUAGGGAUCGUUCUAGGCCGGGGAUUAGGAGGGAUUGCUAAACACUUGAAAACUGACUUAAAAAACAUAAAAAAUAAAAUUUAAAACACUAAACUAGACUCAAAGAAUGCAAAACUAUACUUUAAAAUACUUAAACAAACAUAAAACUCAAAACAGCAACCUAAUGACUCAAAACUACCUAAAAACCACUUUCUGGGCAGUUUUGAGAACCUAACAAGAACUUGGACGAAGUUGGAUGAAAACUUGAAUAAAAACACUUAGAAACACAAAUCAAAACACUUUCUAACUAAUCUAAGACUUCAAAAUAAAGGGGGAUUUGUUUUGGACGAAAAUUGAAAACAAAACAGAAACUUGAAAACAAAACAGAUUGUAAAACGUUUUUGGAUGAAAAGGAUGGAUAAAAGGCUAGUUAGGAGGUUCUUCUCCACACAUGACACACUUGCAAACAAAAAUGAUUUUCAGUUGUUCUUUCAAUAAAUUAUGAAACUCAACACCCCAAGUUAAUUAGAUACGCUUAAAUUAACCUUCAAGUUCUCCUUAAGUUAAUGAAUUGGAUGGAAAAGCGCAUACAACAAUUCAAAGCAUUCCUCAAAGGUUCCUUACGUGAUGAGCACAAUAAAGAUACAAUCAAGAAUCAUGAAGCACAAUGAGAACUAUAAGUGUUGACGAGGCAUUCGUUACUAUGAUGAGCAUGAAACUAGUGCCAAGAAUUCAUUCAACGCGAUCGUUUUCAAGCGACCUUCACUACUUGUGAUUAUAAGAUUGUAACUAUUAGGUGAAACUCCCUCAUAAUCUAGCAUCAUAUUCAUGCAUGAAAACUAAGCGUGCACUCUCAAUCAACAUACACAAAUAAGUUAUCAAUCAAGUAGAUGAACGAAUUGAAUCCGCAACUUAUGAAAUAACAACUGAAUGUAAUCAAAUCAUAUUGCAAGCAUGUACAUGGUUUCGAAUCACCCCCCAACUAAGGGGGUUUAGUUCCUCAUUCUUGCAAUACAAAGAUACAUAAAAUUAGACAUUAAAAUCAAAGGAAAGAAAACACCUAAAAUGCUCCAACUUGGAAAGCAAGUGCAUCAAUGGAUCUCCCUUCCUCCUUGUUGCGGCAUGAAGCUUGUGGACAGAUUUUUGGGUGGAUUUAUGGUGUAGAAUGGAUGGGGAAUGAUAUGGAGGGGUUUAGGGUGAGUGUGGAAGAGUGUUUGAUGGUUGGAAGGUGGUGGAGAACUAGGCAAAGAGGGUGGAAGAAGGUGGAGUGGCUGUUAUGUUUUCUAGGCACUAGAAUGGUGUUUUUGGGGUGUUUUGCUUCCUAGGGUGUGUAUGGACGAAUUUCUGUUAUAAAAUGAUGAAUAUGGGGGAUUGUUCUUUGGCCAAGGGGUGUAAACAUGUAUUUAUAGGCCCCAAAAACCUUAGAAAAUCAGGUUAGGUUAAGGAUGAAAUGCAUGGUAAUUUGUGUGUGUGGUGUGCAAUGGUCCAAGGGUGAAAAUGAAGUGAUGAUGCAAAGUGUGAAGGGUAAAAUGGAGUGGUCUUGAAGCUAGGGAGCAUGAAUGAUUGUGUACAUUGCAUAGAGAUG
rnacentral:lncRNA from 1 species